AGUGAACGCUGGCGGCGUGCUUAACACAUGCAAGUCGAACGAGAACGGAUUAUAGCUUGCUAUAAUUGUCAGCUAAGUGGCGCACGGGUGAGUAAUGUAUAGGUAAUAUGCCUCUUACUAAGGGAUAACAAAUGGAAACGUUUGCUAAUACCUUAUACUCCUUAUUAACAGAAGUUAAUAAGGGAAAGAUUUAUUGGUAAGAGAUUAGCCUGUAUUGUAUCAGUUAGUUGGUGGGGUAAUGGCUUACCAAGACUAUGACACAUAACUGGUUUGAGAGGAUGAUCAGCCACACUGGGACUGAGACACGGCCCAGACUCCUACGGGAGGCAGCAGUGGGGAAUCUUGGACAAUGGGCGCAAGCCUGAUCCAGCCAUGCCGCGUGGAUGAUGAAGGCCUUAGGGUUGUAAAAUCCUUUCAACGGGGACGAUAAUGACGGUACCCGUAGAAGAAGCCCCGGCUAACUUCGUG
rnacentral:rRNA from 1 species